UACGAAGGGGGCUAGCGUUGCUCGGAAUCACUGGGCGUAAAGGGUGCGUAGGCAGGUCUUUAAGUCAGGGGUGAAAUCCUGGAGCUCAACUCCAGAACUGCCUUUGAUACUGAGGAUCUUGAGUACGGGAGAGGUGAGUGGAACUGCGAGUGUAGAGGUGAAAUUCGUAGAUAUUCGCAAGAACACCAGUGGCGAAGGCGGCUCACUGGCCCGUAACUGACGCUGAGGAGCGAAAGCGUGGGGAGCGAACAGG
rnacentral:rRNA from 1 species